UACGGAGGGAGCUAGCGUUGUUCGGAAUUACUGGGCGUAAAGCGUGCGCAGGCGGUCUCUUAAGACAGGUGUGAAAUCCCCGGGCUUAACCUGGGAACUGCGCUUGUAACUGAGAGGCUAGAGUGUGGCAGAGGGGGGUGGAAUUCCACGUGUAGCAGUGAAAUGCGUAGAUAUGUGGAGGAACACCGAUGGCGAAGGCAGCCCCCUGGGCUAACACUGACGCUCAUGCACGAAAGCGUGGGGAGCAAACAGG
rnacentral:rRNA from 1 species